GGCAGUUCUCAGGUGAAACACUCCAGAAUCAGGCAGCCUACUCUCUGGUUCCUGGUGCAUCACCUGAGAACCACA
rfam:Myotis davidii contig16628, whole genome shotgun sequence.